CGUUUUACUUUUUAAAUAUAUAUAUAUAUAUAUAGUGUGUAAGUAUGUGUGUGUGUAUAUAUAUAUAUAAAAGUAUAAGUAUAUAGCCAACUACUCACCCACAAUGGGCUUUGUCUGUGUCAGUACCCAAAUCAGUACCGGUGCUUAGUAGCAAACACUGGAAUCUGGCAGUGUCUGCUACCAGUCAGAUGAUCCCUGGCAAGUUGUUGGUCCAGGCUAGCUAGCGCUUUCGCAGACAUUUCCCAUGCACAGCUCAGGAGCCAGCAUGGACAAGGCACUGUCCCUGUUAGGCAAGCUGGAAAUUAUUAUUUUAUUCAGGAGGCUCCACAGCAAUUACAAAAGUUCAUUUCAGGCACCAUAGAAAGCUGCUUGUGCAGCCAAGGUAGCAAGGCAACUUGAAGAGACAGCGAGGAGGCCUGUUGCUGAGGGAAACCAUCACCGAGCAGCCUGACAGGAGCAGAGGGAUGUCAUUGAUGUGCAAUGUUGCAGACCCUCCAGCUCAAAGAGACAGCACGACACUGUAAUAUGUCAAGUGCAUCGCUGAGUUUCAGCUCAGUGGAGAGGGCAACGCAUACACCUGGGAACCAGAAAACAUCUGCUGGAGGAAGUCACUUGAAAAAUAACCUUGCAAUGGCUUGGGAGAAACAUCUGUGCAGCAAAUGACAUACCAGCAGUAAUGGAAGGAUGGAGAGACAGAAGUUGAAGAAAAUACCCUGUGUUGGUGAUACAGGGAGCUGGUGACAGGACAAGGGGAAUUUAGGUCAGCACAAACUUAUUUCCAUAUACAACUUUUAUGUAUGUGAGCUGAUGCAGCAGCUGUCUAAUGGAAGGGACUGUGCAGCCUCUUUAUCGUUGGCACAUGUGAAUAGAGGGAUCCAAACUUUCCAUCUUUCUCCCAUUCUCCACUCUGAAACUAUUUCUGUGUUUUAUUGUUUACUCUCUAUGAGAGUUUUUCCACAAACUCUUCCUACUCCAUACAUAUAGAAUAGCAAUGCGAAGAGGGUGUGAGUAUGUUAAACCUGAUGAAUCUUGAAUCCUUUCAAGGGAUGUGAAACCUAAGGCACAGAAUUAUAUAUUUUGCCCAGAACAAAGCUAGUUGAUAUUCAGGAUAGGAAAAAAAGACUCUUAAACCCCUCUCCCAAACUCCUCAUGUCUUGACAUUGACUUUUAUUUUAUCCAUUAUUUUGGGAAAUUCUGUUAUGGAGGCAGAGCAAAGAUUCUAAUGAACCAUCUUCUUACAAGAUGCAUUCACUCUGUGAAGAACUGGGUGAAAUUCCCCAGGCUACAUAUUUCAAGAAUCAGACUAGGUGGUUACUUUUGUCUCCAUGUGUUGGGAGUUUUGAAGAACAGGAAACUAUUUUAAUUCUCUGCAUUGUUAGAAGUCAAAAUCAUGAAAGGGAUUGUGUGAAUAAUUUAACAAUGUGAGGGUCAAUACUCGGAAAUGUACCCAGGACAUGUUCAGUUCAGUUUAAAUGUAGUCAGACUAAAGAGUUAUGCUCGCAUUCACCUGCAGUUGAAGUUGUGGACAGCAGCUAGUGCAUUUCUGGUCAGCUUCCAAAUCCAGCUGGGAAAGGCUCACAGUAUGCAUGCCCCAGUGCAAAGAGGUGAAGCAGUAGAUCAGUAGGUCAACAUCUCAAAUUUGCAAGAUAAUUUUUUGUUUACAUGCUUUUGCUGUUGCAGACACAUCGGGCAAAGAGACUAGGGGACAGACACCAAGUGCUCAGAUUACUUCAGCCACUCAGAAAAAUGCAACAACACUUCCCUGAAAUGUGAAUGACAGUUUGCUGGCUAUGGUACAUACCAGUCCUUACUGUUUAAAAAGCAUGCAUGGUGAACAGAGCUGUUACAUAAAUAGUUUGCCCAGAUUUGCACAGAAGCUUAAUAGAAAGAAAAGGGGACAAGAUUGACAAAUUGUUAAUGAUUCUUUUGAAACCACUCUACCUUGCGUCUAUGAGAUUAAAGACAUUAAUUCCACAAGGGUGUUGUGAUAUGCCUUUUGAGAUGUGACCUGACACUGCAGCAAGACUUGGACAGGUUCUGAUAGACCUGGAGAAGGAAAUCUAUGGAAAGAUUUGGAGUCAAAAGGAUUAAUUGGUACAGAUCUAAAGAUAGUGAAAAGAUAUCACACUGAGUAAGGAGAAUAGGUCUGAAUUAUGUCAAGUGUUAGAAAUGUGAAGGAGAAACCAAAUGUAAUUUAGGCAAUAUAGGUAGGUAAUAGUAGGAUUUGGAAAUGCUAGAGACUUGGAGGUAUAACUGAACAAAUAUUCUGUACUCACUGUGUAUAUUACCCAGGCAUCUGCUCUUAGACAGAUUUGGAGAAAGAAUCUUGGAUUAGACAAAUCUCUAAUUAUGUGUUGAUAUGUAUUUUUAUUGAAAAUGGCAGACCAACUGCCCCAUUCAUCUGAACUCUUUCAUGCCAGAAUUUAUACAAACAUUGAUAGCUGACUUUUGAUCAUCUUCUAGUGGGCAAUCAGAAGAUGAAGAAAGUGAGAUACUGGGAACUGGAGACAGAGAAAAGUUAAUUUUGAAAACAUAAUAUUUCUACAAGUGAACAGACGCAAUACUCUUAAGGAGAGAUCUUUAACCUUCAGAAGAAGGACCUGAAUUCAAUGGAGAGGAAAAACAGGACAGAAGGAACAAAACAGAAUUAACAGGCUUCAGAAGACUUCUGUCACUCAUCACAGUGAUGAGAAAAGGAGACUAAAGUCAAGAAGUCAAAAGCCCUAGGCACAUUUUUACUAAUUUUCUGUCUGAUCUCUUCCUUCUUGACCAACUCAUUAUGGAUGAACUGAUCUUAACAGUUCACCAGGUUAUCAGCACCAAAGAAAUGCUGUGCAAAAUGCAGCCAUUUGAUUUACGUCACACACCUGGGGACUUACUAUUUGAAAAAUAAUAAAAUGACACUGUCAUAAUGAACCCUUUUCAGUUCACUGUUCCCAUAGCAGGUAUUUCAUGACAGUAUGUGAAUGAUUAAUGCCACUUGACAGAGUGGGUGAGUUAGGAGGCAGCAUUUGCUCUGUGGUAUUGAAGGAAUGCAUUUGGAAUUGGUGCACUGCUCAUCUUUGUGGAUGUCACUAAGAGCAUAGUUUCAAUGAUGGCUCUGCUCUUCUAUUGUAACUUUACUACCUUCUUAUUUUUGUAAUUCUCCUUUUCACUUUAUUUCCUUCUUUUUCUUCAUGACCUAACUUAGGAGUCUACAGACCUUCCUGGAAGAAGAUUAUUCACUGGGAUCUCUGUGUA